ACGAACGCUGGCGGCGUGCUUAACACAUGCAAGUCGAACGGAAAGGCCCUGCUUUUGUGGGGUGCUCGAGUGGCGAACGGGUGAGUAACACGUGAGUAACCUGCCCUUGACUUUGGGAUAACUUCAGGAAACUGGGGCUAAUACCGGAUAGGAGCUCCUGCUGCAUGGUGGGGGUUGGAAAGUUUCGGCGGUUGGGGAUGGACUCGCGGCUUAUCAGCUCGUUGGUGGGGUAGUGGCUUACCAAGGCUUUGACGGGUAGCCGGCCUGAGAGGGUGACCGGCCACAUUGGGACUGAGAUACGGCCCAGACUCCUACGGGAGGCAGCAGUGGGGAAUAUUGCACAAUGGGCGGAAGCCUGAUGCAGCAACGCCGCGUGCGGGAUGACGGCCUUCGGGUUGUAAACCGCUUUCGCCUGUGACGAAGCGUGAGUGACGGUAAUGGGUAAAGAAGCACCGGCUAACUACGUG
rnacentral:rRNA from 1 species